UUUGCGUGAAAUUUCAUCAGCUGUAUCAGUUUCUUUGGUUUGUUUUCUCAAGACUGAGUGAAAGUUUUCCACUGGAUACUCAUCGAAUGCAGAACAUCGAGAGAAUAAGAUCCCUGAUCAAUGUCCAUCCGCCAUAAAUGAUUUCAAGCAACAGAGAUGUACGCCAUGGUUUUGGUUUCUUAGCCAGCUUUGCUUUUUUCCCAAAGAUGAAAGCAUAAAGGAUGUGCAACAAUUCCAAGAUUCCGUAGAGAUUCAAGCCCUUGUUUGCUGAUUCCAAACUGCUGCAGUGUCCUGGAUAGUGUGACUUGAAAUGAGUUGCAUUUUUGUGAUUACAUUGGAUCCAAUGUUAUGGCUUCUUGUAUGGAUGAAUAUAAUUUAUCAGCACCAACAUCUUUGCACAUAAUCUCAAACACAUCAGGAUCCAUUUCAGGCUCUGCCAAUUUUGUUAUGACAGAUUCUUGCCUGUUCAUCUCGUUUUUAGCAGAAGAUUCCAAUACCACAAGCUAAAUUACAAGUGUGCUUAAUUGACUUUUUUUUCUCUGAGGGCCAUACUAAUGGCCAUAAGGUCAUACCUGGCUUUUCACGUUGUUUUUCAACUCGUCGGCUUGUUGUUUAGGAAGCAAUCGCGUAAAUUUCCUUUUCGUGAAGCAUUUGUGCAGGCAUGUUGCACAUAGAUUCUGGAUUCCAUAAGACGAUUUUUCGCCAAGUUCUUCCUUAACAUAUUGCUCAAAAACUACUGAAAUUACAAGCAGGCCACGAUUUCUUAGAUUUAAAACCUUUUCUCCUUCACGCCCCGACCAUUUUUUAUGAAACGGAUUGUUGCAU